AGUUCCUGCUUAUAACUACAUGUGCUCAGCUCGUAAAUGCGAUCUUUACUUAAACAUAAGUUGAACUUAAUCGCUUCAAAUACUAUAUUUGAUCGCAUAAAGCAGUUAGCAUUAUAAACGUUGCCGUUAGGGGCGUUAUAACGUGACUGUAUUCUAUUUUACAAUGAGUUUUCUUUCUCGAGUCUCGAGUCAAUGGGGGAGACAAUCAUGCCCGGAAAGUGAAGUCAAGUAUGUAUAUUAUAGAAAUUUACCUUAACAGUAACACAUAAUGCUUGAAUUUGUUACGUCCAGAUAAACCCAGGUAACGUUACAUUAUGUUCAAACGGAACACGCAUUGGCCAAGCGCUCGCGUAUGUGCCUAAAUUAUAGCAUAGCCUAAUUUUCAUUUUUGCGUGAACUAGCUCGUUAACCCGAUACGCUGGGCUGUGUGCGUGGGUGUACGUGACAGCACGUGUAGGGUUACUCAUAAUGACUCAUUCUUUUAUCCACAUAGGUCAUUCUCUCCCCCUCACCUCGUGCAUGAACUCACUGUUAUCUGAGGUUACAAUAAAGGACAAAACAUAGACAAAUACAAAGCAAGC
rnacentral:lncRNA from 12 species